GAGUGAUGAAGGUUUUCGGAUCGUAAAGCUCUGUUUUUAGGGAAGAACAAGUGCCGUUCAAAUAGGGCGGCACCUUGACGGUACCUAACCAGAAAGCCACGGCUAACUACGUGCCAGCAGCCGCGGUAAUACGUAGGUGGCAAGCGUUGUCCGGAAUUAUUGGGCGUAAAGGGCUCGCAGGCGGUUUCUUAAGUCUGAUGUGAAAGCCCCCGGCUCAACCGGGGAGGGUCAUUGGAAACUGGGGAACUUGAGUGCAGAAGAGGAGAGUGGAAUUCCACGUGUAGCGGUGAAAUGCGUAGAGAUGUGGAGGAACACCAGUGGCGAAGGCGACUCUCUGGUCUGUAACUGACGCUGAGGAGCGAAAGCGUGGGGAGCGAACAGGAUUAGAUACCCUGGUAGUCCACGCCGUAAACGAUGAGUGCUAAGUGUUAGGGGGUUUCCGCCCCUUAGUGCUGCAGCUAACGCAUUAAGCACUCCGCCUGGGGAGUACGGUCGCAAGACUGAAACUCAAGGAAUUGACGGGGGCCCGCACAAGCGGUGGAGCAUGUGGUUUAAUUCGAAGCAACGCGAAGAACCUUACCAGGUCUUGACAUCCUCUGACAAUCCUAGAGAUAGGACGUCCCCUUCGGGGGCAGAGUGACAGGUGCUGCAUGGCCUUCGGUCAGCAA
rnacentral:rRNA from 1 species